rnacentral:rRNA from 1 species
GACGAACGCUGGCGGCGAGCUUAACACAUGCAAGUCGAACGGAAAGGCCCUGCUUUUGUGGGGUGCUCGGGUGGCGAACGGGUGAGUAACACGUGAGUAACCUGCCCUUGACUUUGGGAUAACUUCAGGAAACUGGGGCUAAUACCGGAUAGGAGCUCCUGCUGCAUGGUGGGGGUUGGAAAGUUUCGGCGGUUGGGGAUGGACUCGCGGCUUAUCAGCUUGUUGGUGGGGUAGUGGCUUACCAAGGCUUUGACGGGUAGCCGGCCUGAGAGGGUGACCGGCCACAUUGGGACUGAGAUACGGCCCAGACUCCUACGGGAGGCAGCAGUGGGGAAUAUUGCACAAUGGGCGGAAGCCUGAUGCAGCAACGCCGCGUGCGGGAUGACGGCCUUCGGGUUGUAAACCGCUUUCGCCUGUGACGAAGCGUGAGUGACGGUAAUGGGUAAAGAAGCACCGGCUAACUACGUG